UCCCUGGUAGCUCAGUUGGUAAAGAAUUUGCCUGCAAUGCAGGAGACCCUGGUUUGAUUCCUGGGUUGGGAA
rnacentral:tRNA from 1 species